UCUCUCUUCUUCUAAAUGCAAGGUCUUUCUCUCUUUCGGUUUCAACCAAGUGAUGAAGAGGUUAUAAGUCAUUACCUUUACAAAAAGGUUAUUGAUUAAAGUUUCUCUGUGAAAGCUAUUGGAGAUUUAGACCUCAACAAGUCUGAUACCUACCAAAAUUGCAGACCCAGUUUUUUUAAUCUUUCUCCCACCUUUGAAUUUUAUGUGUACUAUUGUUCAUGGAUUGAAAAUUUUGGGUUUUAGGGAAACCUAAAAUGGGAGAAAAAGAAUGGUACUUUUUCUAUCGGUAAUUUAUUUGCCUCAGUGUAUAAGCUAUGUUUUAAUGCCUUCUGCUCUUUCUGCAACAAAAUAAUACCGAGGAAGCUAUUCAAGGAUUGAAUGGAACAAUGAUUGGGAAGCAGACCAUGCAUCUUUCUUGCGGUUACAGUUUGGGAAAUAAGCAUGUACAUGUCCUCAACAUUAUGAAAGAGAUAUGAAUUGAGGCAUUUACACACAAUAUCAUUCCAAGUUGUUCAGGCAUUUACCAAAUAUGAACAUGGGAGUCAGCUUCCUGAUCUUGAGGGAAAGUUUUUCGAUCUUGAGGCAUUGCUUCCUGCUGUUUAUAAGGUAUUCCAUUAUCCUCUCAUUUGAUAUCAAUGCAACUAUAUACUUUUUUUUUUGUAUUUAUAUACCAAUGUUAUUUUUUCUUAUGUUGUUACUUCGUUAUGAAAUGGAUUAUCAGAGUAGAACCAGAGUUGUUUCCAGGACUAAUAUAUCGAAUGAAGCAGCUCAAGAUAGUUUUUCUUAUAUUCGUAUUUGGAAAAAUUCUUCUGACAGAAGCCAAGCUAUCACCGGUCUUGAGAUAUUCCCAUUUAAUCUUAUAUGUUUACCAUUUUCUGCCUCAUUGAACUAAUGUUUUAAUUUGCAAUUGUUUAGGUGAGAGACGAGACUUAUACAUCCUUUUGGAACAUAUAUCAAGUGCUUACUUAGUUCAGGAAAAACUAAUAAUGGUAUGUAAAUGGCUCUAUAUCCACAACCUUUUCAAUUGGGAUUGUAUAUACAUGUCAUGAUAAUUGGGAGAGGGUUAUAAUUGGGAUUGGAUAUAACCUUUUCUUCUAUUUUUUUUUUUUUUUCUUCAACUGUCAAAUUAUAAUUACAAUCUAGACCUUAGUUUUUAAAUUGAAAGAUGAAAUACAUCAUGUAGAUUUUUGCUAAUGUUUUGUUUCCUAAAGAUAUUUGUUAAUGUCAUGGGAUACAUGCUAUUUAUUAAUGGCAGAGUAUCAUCAUGAGUAAGAGCAAGUUUUUUGGCUAAGAAGAACAUGGAUUAUGGGCUUGACUGUCCUAUAGAUAUUGAGACAGAGAAGAUAUUUGGAAUUAGAUAAAGUUAGCCGCUUUAGUUCUGCUUGUGAUGGAUGGAUCUUGACGUAGUAUAGUGAAAAAACUUGUAUGUUUGAUAAUUUAUAUACAAGACUUUUAAAGAGGAUGAAAAGAGCUUAAUGGUAAAUAGUUGAGUCUUUUUUACCUUUCUUUUAAGUUAGGUUCCUUAAACUUAUCUAUAAUAUCAAUAAAUUUGCUGAAUGUUGUGUUAGAAAUAGGUAUGAUAAUCCUGGAUAUCUUCAAGAAUCGUGUUCGUUCACUUUCCGAACAAAGUAUUUCGACCCUAUUCUUGUCUGGGUUCACGAAAUCUUUGCGGGGAUAAUUCUCGGAGAACAAUCUGUUUCUGAUAAUGGAGAACAAAUCAGAAUGUAGAGGAAGUAUGUUUUUCGUGUUCGAAACCGAGGCCAAAUGACUCCUUAUAUAGGAGAUCAACAAUAGAAACCGAAAUGACACACCUGUUCGGUAAAAACAGUUAUGUUGGUUGGGAAACGACGCACCUGUUCGGUAAAACGGUUAUGUCGGUUGGGAAAGGGUGCAACUAUUCAAACGAAUUUUUUGUUCGGGGCGCUGCCCCUUGGACCCCGGCAGGGCGCUGCCCCGCACCCCGCCAGGGGCUCCGCCCCUUGGAACCCCGUUUCUAUUAUUCGUAUUCAAUUGCACGUUUGGCUCUACGAGCGUGCACUCCGCACUACCCUAACUCGUUUCAAGCUUAACGCAUAAUUGCAUCGGCCUACAGUAAAUCACAUUAUUACCAAAAUACAUUGAUGAUACUAAAAUCACCAACAUGUUGUACACAUUUCAUCCAUUUUAUUUUGUUGGUUUAAUUUUACUUUCAUUGACAAGUUAAUGAGGCUGCAAAUGUUGGGUGGUAAAUCAUGUUGUGUUGAUACAUCUCAAGACAAAUGGGACAUUUUGUGUGUUAACAUGUAAAUUGUUAGAUUUUUGUGAUUGUGAAUCAUGUUUUUACUUCUAUAUUGUACUGCCAGUAGAAAGAUAUUGUUAGUUAGAAGUACAUAAUCACUAAUAUUCUCAUUGCCAUGCAGAAACUUUUUUUCAUGAUUCCAAUAAAAUUUGAGUCACAUAGAACUGAAUUGGUAUAUGUAAGAGUUUAUUUAUGUUUUAAAGUUUUGGUGGUAUAGAUUUUGACGAGGAUAACGAGAAUGCUGAGGAAACAAGUUAUGUCACCAACGAGACUAAAUAUGAUCUUGGUGAUGUGGAUCAAUAGAUUUAGAAACAUAGAUGAGAAGGGGAAUGAGAGUAAGAAGGGCAUGUAAUGCAAUGGAAAAAAAUUUAUAACGACCCUUGAAAUUUUGUUGUUGAAGGUGUUAUUAAAAUUAUGUUUUCUCUUGACAGGAUACAUUCUGCAAAACAAUUGGAGCAACUAAGAUUCAAAGCAAACACAUUUGAUUGGUUUUUACGAAGUCUGCCUAAUUAUGUUUAAAACUUAAUCGGUACUACAAAGUUUGUUACAUAUGUUAUUCACUUUCAUCGAUGUUUUAGUAGUCAUUAUGUUUAAAAAUUCUUUUGUUUUGAUUGUGAUAUUGUUAUUUGUUCUAAUAUGUUAAUUACUAUAAAUUUUGUUUGUAAAUUUAAG